GUGUCAGCAGCCGCGGUAAUACGUAGGGUGCGAGCGUUAAUCGGAAUUACUGGGCGUAAAGCGUGCGCAGGUGGUUCGCUAAGACAGAUGUGAAAUCCCCGGGCUCAACCUGGGAACUGCGUUUGUGACUGGCGGGCUAGAGUGCGGAAGAGGGAGGUGGAAUUCCACGUGUAGCAGUGAAAUGCGUAGAGAUGUGGAGGAACACCGAUGGCGAAGGCAGCCUCCUGGUCUAGCACUGACGCUCAUGCACGAAAGCGUGGGGAGCAAACAGGAUUAGAAACCCCCGUAGUCC
rnacentral:rRNA from 1 species